rnacentral:rRNA from 1 species
UACGUAGGUGGCAAGCGUUGUCCGGAAUUAUUGGGCGUAAAGAGCUCGUAGGCGGUGUGUCGCGUCGGCCGUGAAAACCUGUGGCUUAACUGCGGGCUUGCGGUCGAUACGGGCAUCACUGGAGUUCGGCAGGGGAGACUGGAAUUCCUGGUGUAGCGGUGAAAUGCGCAGAUAUCAGGAGGAACACCGGUGGCGAAGGCGGGUCUCUGGGCCGAUACUGACGCUGAGGAGCGAAAGCGUGGGGAGCGAACAGG